rnacentral:rRNA from 1 species
AGAGUUUGAUCCUGGCUCAGAACGAACGCUGGCGGCGUGCUUAACACAUGCAAGUCGAGUGCGCGUCCGUAGCAAUACGGAUGGCGCACGGCGCACGGGUGCGUAACACGUGGGCAAUCUGCCCUCCGAAGGGGAAUAACUCCGGGAAACCGAAGCUAAUUCCGCAUAACAUUCCCUGGACUCCGGUUCGGGGAUUCAAAGCAGCAAUGCGUCGGAGGAGGAGCCCGCGCCCGAUUAGCUAGUUGGUGAGGUAACGGCUCACCAAGGCUAUGAUCGGUAGCUGGUCUGAGAGGAUGGCCAGCCACACUGGAACUGAGACACGGUCCAGACUCCUACGGGAGGCAGCAGUGGGGAAUCUUGCGCAAUGGGCGAAAGCCUGACGCAGCGACGCCGCGUGGGGGAUGAAGCUUCUCGGAGUGUAAACCCCUUUCGACCGGGACGAAUGCCCGCAAGGGAGUGACGGUACCGGUAGAAGAAGCCCCGGCUAACUACGUGCCAGCAGCCGCGGUAAGACGUAAGGGGCCAGCGUUGUUCGGAAUUACUGGGUGUAAAGGGUUCGUAGGCGGUGUGGCAAGUCGGGAGUGAAAUUUCUGGGCUUAACUCAGAACCUGCUUCCGAAACUGCUGUGCUCGAGUGUGGGAGAGGCGCGUGGAAUUGCAGGUGUAGCGGU